rnacentral:ncRNA from 1 species
UUUCAGGGCGGAGUGAAAUUCUCCACCGGUGGUAAAGUCCACGAGCCUCGCGGCUGAUUCGGUGAAAUUCCGAAACCGACGGUAUAGUCCGGAUGAAAGAAA